rnacentral:tRNA from 1 species
GCCCUAGUAGCUUAAACAAAGCGCCGGUCUUGUAAUCCGGAGAUCGAGAGUUCAAGCCCCUCCUAGCGCC